rnacentral:rRNA from 1 species
UGGGGAAUAUUGCACAAUGGGCGAAAGCCUGAUGCAGCGACGCCGCGUGCGGGAUGAAGGCCUUCGGGUUGUAAACCGCUUUUAAUUGGGAGCAAGCGAGAGUGAGUGUACCUUUUGAAUAAGCACCGGCUAACUACGUGCCAGCAGCCGCGGUAAUACGUAGGGUGCAAGCGUUAUCCGGAAUUAUUGGGCGUAAAGAGCUCGUAGGCGGUUUGUCACGCCUGGUGUGAAAGUCCAUCGCUUAACGGUGGAUCUGCGCCGGGUACGGGCAGGCUAGAGUGCAGUAGGGGAGAUUGGAAUUCCCGGUGUAACGGUGGAAUGUGUAGAUAUCGGGAAGAACACCAAUGGCGAAGGCAGAUCUCUGGGCUGUUACUGACGCUGAGGAGCGAAAGCAUGGGGAGCGAACAGGAUUAGAUACCCGUGGUAGUCCAUGCCGUAAACGGUGGAUGCUGGAUGUGGGACCCUUCCACGGGUUCCGUGUCGGAGCUAACGCGUUAAGCAUCCCGCCUGG